CAGACCUGGUGAGGGGUCUUUUAAUAAAGUGUUCCCACAAAAGGCUCCUCUAGGCAAGCUUUCAUAAGAAAUGCGUGCUACCUUCCCCUCUCGGUGUCAUGUCAGCAAUAGUUUUAUGAAUUUUAAGGUUGGCAGGUAUGUGAGCACAUUCUUUUGUGCUUGCUGUGCAAACAAAGGUGAUACUGAGUUGUGCCAGUACUUUCUGGCAAAGGUACAUUGGUGCAGUCUCAUAGCCGUGUCUUGUCCUUUUUAAAGCCAACGCAAGCUUCUCCAUCAAGUUUGCCUGCCUGUCUUGCUAAACAAUUACAUUGGAGUAGUUGCAUAUGAAACACAUGGCAGCCAGCUGGCACAGUUUUCAUUGGCAUUUGCUCGAAACAUGUUUUGUUGUUUUCUAGCUUGCCGUUGCAGCAGCAGUCUGAAUCCUACAGGUCGUAAGUGCACUGGCAUGGCGAGAAAUCAGCAUGGCAGAUUUUGCAGUGAAAUGCAUAGGCAUUCUUGUUCGAGCCUUCCAACUGCAAAUUCAUAGCGGGUGGAAAUCAUUAGCAUAAAAAAACAUUGCUGAAAAGGAGCCAGAGACAAACUGGAAAUGCCACAACCAGCAAGCACACCUCCUGGAACAGAGGAGUCUCUGCUGUGAAGCUCGCACCGACGUUCAAUGUCUAGCAUUGCGCAGUCAGCUGUGCAAGCACCAGAGUUUGUGUGUGUGUAUGUGUAAUGGAUAAAAUUUUAAAAAGAUCAAGUUUCAAUCUCCACCGCUGGUGGUGCAAUUGCAACAAGACGGUGUGUAUAAGUCACUACUACUACACCAGAAAGCUGGUUCCCUGGGCUGUAAUUAAUUUAUAAAACACAGAAAUCGAAAAUGACAGCCAGUGACAACACCACACUUGCAUGAAGUGCAAACAUGCAUGUGGUUCCGAUAUCUUUUUAAGUGCU
rnacentral:lncRNA from 1 species